ACAUCGCACUAGGGGUUAUAUAGAUCUAGUGUCGUACCUGCCCGGUGGUUUUCUAAACGGCUGCGGUACCCUGACCGUGCAAAGGUAGCAUAAUAACUUGCCUUUUAAUUGGUGGCUUGUAUGAAUGGUUUGUCAGCACUUAGGCUGUCUCUUUAAGAUUAUAUCAAAAUUGGGAAACAGAUGAAGAUAUCUGUAUAAAGUUGAAGGACGAGAAGACCCUAUAAAGCUAAUUUAUAUUAUUGUUUAUUUCAAUAAUAAAAGUUGAUUGGGGCAAUCAAGGAAUAACUAGAACUUCCUUAUAAUAUCAAAACAUAUUUCAACCUUAUUUCUUUAAGAAUCUGGGUUAGCUACUUUAGGGAUAACAGCAUUAUCCCGCUUAAGAGAUCGUAUUGAAAGCGGGGAUUAUGACCUCGAUGUUGGACUAAGGUUACAGGAAGGUGCAGCAGCUUUCUAAAGUGGGCCUGUUCGGCUUUUAAACCCUUAC
rnacentral:rRNA from 1 species